ACUUUUUGAUUUUGUAUCAGUUGGGACCUACUUCUAUUAUAUUAAUUGAUAUUUUUACAAUUAGUGAAAAUUGGUGUAGAAGGCACUAUAGCAGCGUUCCAGACGCUCACCAUUCUAAAGCAACCAAAGUGUGCAUAAUUUCGUCUCCCAUAGAGCCAGUUGCCGAAGACGAAGAAGACGAUGACGGUAUUGAAAAUGGUGAUAAUAUUAUAUUCAACACAAAUAAAACACACGAUUACACGUUUUUCCCAGAAAAAUGGAAACAAAUUUUGCGAUAUACGAAACUGGCAAUAUUAAUAAUUUUCUGGUUACUAAUCACUAUAAUUUUAAUGAGGAAAACAGAGAUUGUUCCAGGGACACAUCAAAUAAACGUUGCAAAGGGGAAGGCUAAAAGUUUUUCAAUAUUUGACGCCCCGAAAUCAAAAAAGCUCGAGAUAAUGUUAGAUGGCGCUAUGCUGCCUGAAUAUUACAGAAACCUGUCACAACAUUCGAUGGAUGUAUGGGUUGAAGGGGUGGUCACGUCGCAACCCGCAAACAAUAAUAGCAAUCUAAAGGAAGCAAACGUCUUAUCAGUAAA